GAUGAACGCUGGCGGCGUGCCUAACACAUGCAAGUCGAGCGAUUUACUUCGGUAAAGAGCGGCGGACGGGUGAGUAACGCGUGGUUAACCUGGCCUGUCCACACGGAUAACAUACCGAAAGGUAUGCUAAUACGAGAUAAUACGCAUUUAUCGCAUGGAAGGAGUAUCAAAGCUCCGGCGGUAGAGGAUGGACCCGUGUCUGAUUAGCUAGUUGGUAAGGUAACGGCUUACCAAGGCGACGAUCAGUAGCCGACCUGAGAGGGUGAUCGGCCACAUUGGAACUGAGACACGGUCCAAACUCCUACGGGAGGCAGCAGUGGGGAAUAUUGCACAAUGGGCGAAAGCCUGAUGCAGCAACGCCGCGUGAGCGAUGAAGGCCUUCGGGUCGUAAAGCUCUGUCCUCAAGGAAGAUAAUGACGGUACUUGAGGAGGAAGCCCCGGCUAACUACGUGCCAGCAGCCGCCGUAA
rnacentral:rRNA from 1 species